UACGUAGGUGGCAAGCGUUGUCCGGAUUUACUGGGCGUAAAGGAUGCGUAGGUGGAUAUAUAAGUGAGAUGUGAAAUACCCGGGCUCAACUUGGGUGCUGCAUUUCAAACUGUAUAUCUAGAGUGCAGGAGAGGUAAGUGGAAUUCCUAGUGUAGCGGUGAAAUGCGUAGAGAUUAGGAAGAACACCAGUGGCGAAGGCGACUUACUGGACUGUAACUGACACUGAGGCAUGAAAGCGUGGGGAGCAAACAGG
rnacentral:rRNA from 1 species